CUCUGUGACACCUAACAACAACAGAUCUUGGAAGAGUGGGACCCCAAAAUUACCAGUAAGUACCCACUGGAAAGCAUGGUGGGUUCAAUUUUAGAAUAGUAGCUGAAACUGAAAAGAAUUUGUGCACAUUCCAAUUUGUGGAGAAGUGAAAGAGGUGAUAUGGUGACAAUAUCCCAUAGGGGACGGGGCAGUCUGGUCCUUACGAGCUUUUAAAACUAACCAACUGGAACUUGCUUCAGGACAAAGCUCCACACUGAGGAAACACCUCUGGGGCUAGACCAAACAGAGUAGAACAGAGAAAAGGGAGGGGCAAAUGAAAGAGAAGAUUCAGAUAAAAGUGGAGGAGAGCAAUCGAGCCAGGAGAUCUUAGAAAUAAGAGCCAUGUUUUUUAACAGCAGAAAAGGGAACUCUAGAGCAAGGACCAGACAGUAACGGUUUUAGGCUUUGAGGGCUAUACAGUUUCUGUCAAAACUACUCAGCUCUGCUAUUGUAGCAUGAAGGCAGCCAUACACAACAUGUAAAUGAAUAAUCAUGAUUGUGUUCAAUAGAAUUUGCAAAAACAGGCGAUGGACUGAAUUUGAUCCAUGAGCCAUGGUUUCUUGACCUCUGCUCUGGAGUCAUGAAGAUAGAAAAGCUCUCCUGACUCAUGCUUCCUUCCUAAAAGUUCAUAACAACUACUUUCACAUAAAAAUGAGCAAAAGAAAAACAUCAGAUUAGAAUCCAAUACAAACUUUCUAAAAUAUAAAAGAAUGAGAAACAGAAUACUUUUCCUACGGACAAUGAAAGCACAUUAGAAAGACAUGCUGAUAAAACGGUGAAAAUUAUAAAUAAAUAUUUCAAAACAACUUAAAAUAUUCAGGAAAAUAAUAAAAGCUCAUGAGGUAUUUACGUAAAUCUGAAUUAGAAAAACUCAGAAUCGAGGGGGUAGAACUCAGGAAAAGAUUAGAACUUCAAGAAGAAAUAAUUUCAGUAAUAAAGUCUAAACUAAAGGGGAUCGUUGUUAUCGGUACGUGCCCUUGAGUCAGUUCCGACUCAUAGCAACUCCACGUACAACAGAACAAAACACUGCCUGGUUCUGAGUAAUCUCCAUAAUCGUUGGUAUGUUUGAGGUCAUUGUUCCAGCCUGGGUCAAUCCAUCUUAUUGAGGGUCUCCCUCUUUUUCACUGACCAGAUACCUUAGCAAGCAUGACAUCCUCCAGGAACUGGUCCCUCCUGAAAACAUGUCCAAAGUACGUGAGACAAAGUUUCUCCAUCCUUGCUUUCAAGGAGCACUCUGGCUGUACUUCUUCCAAGAUAGACUUGUUUGUCCUUCUGGAAGUCCACAGUAUUCAAUAUUCUUUUCCAACAUCGUAAUUCAAAGGCAUCAAUUCUUCUCUGAUAUUCCUUAUUCAUUAUCCAGUUUUCACACGCAUAUGAGACGAUUGAAAAUACCAUGGUGUGGGUCAGGCACAAGGAAACCCUGGUGGUGUAGUGGUUAAGUGCUAUGGCUGCUAACCAAAAGGUCAGCAGUUUGGAUCCGCCAGGCACUUCUUGGAAACUCCACAGAGCAGUUCUACUCUGUCCUAUAGGGUCACUAUGAGUCGGAAUCGAUUCAACGGCAGUGGGUUUGUUUUUUUUUUUAUUUUGGGUCAGGCACACCUUAGUCCUCAAAGUGAUACCUUUGCUUUUCAACACUUUAAAGAGGUCUUUUGCAGCAGAUUUGCCCAAUGUAAUGCGAUGUUUGAUAUCUUAACUGCUGCUUCCAUGGGUGUUGAUUGUGGAGCCAAGUAAAAUGAAAUCCUUGACAACUUCAAUAUUUUCUACAUUUACCAUAAAGUUGCUUGUUGGUCCAGUUGUGAGGAUUUUUAUUUUCUUUAUGUUGAGGUGUAAUCCAUACCAAAGGUUGUAGUCUUUGACCUUCAUCAGUAAGUGCUUUAAGUCUUGUUUGCUCUCAGCAAACAAGGUUGUGUCAUCUGCAUAUCGCAGGUUGUUACUGAGUCUUCCACCAGUCCUGGAAGCCGUGUUCUUCUUUGUGUAGUCCAGCUUCUCUGAUUAUUUUGCUCAGCACACAGAUUGAAUAAGUAUGGUGAAAGGAUACAACCCUGAUGCACACCUUUCCUGAUUUUAAACUACUCAGUAUCCCCUUGCUUUGUUUGAACGACUGCCUCUUGGUCUAUGUACAGGUUCCGCAAAAGUGGAAGGAGGAGAUUUGGUGGGAUAAGAUUGGCUAUGAGUUUAAGAUUCUCGAAACUGAGUGAUGGAUCAAAAGCGUUCAUUAAAAUCUUCCAUUAUCAUUUUUAAAACAAUGAGUCUAAGUCUCAGACUCCUAGUACAGAGCUCUCUCCAUCACUUCAUUAAGUUGGUCGUGAGACAAAGUAAGCAAUAUUCCAGAAUUUUCUACAUAUUUUUAUUUUAAUGGGGUUCCCAAAACAAGAGACAAAAGCAGUGGUUAAAAACGUCAGCACUGGGAGUUCAUGAACUCUGUUUUCUCAUGUGACUUUGCCAAGAAUUUCCUAUGUGGUCUUUGGCAAGAUCAGAUUUUUCUGUCUUGAUUUGGUCAUUCUCCAAAGUCACUCAGAAGUCAAGGUUCACAUUGUGACUUAUCAGAAGGCGGCAGUUCCAGCCAAGGAGGGCUCUAUCAUUCGCAUAAAUAUGAUUCACUACAGACAGUCCUUGACUUAUGAUGGGCUUCUAUUCCUUGGUUCUGAUUUUAUACAUUUCAAAGAUGCCCACUUCGUGCCAGAGUGCUAGGACUUCAGGACAGGAAGCAACAGCUACUGCCCAAACCUGGAAGAAAAGCCCAGCGUCUCAUGAAGCAGAUCUACAACUUGGAAGGUUAUAAGCAACCUCUUCCAAAUGCAAAUACAAAAUAUAGGAACACUGUGGAGCUCUGAGGAUACGGAUAUCUUUAUUUUCACUCUCAUGCUGAGAGGCUCAGAAGUUAUUGGGAGAGACGGGUAUGCCAAUAGGUAGAAUCAAGUCUCUCGACCAGCCAAAAUCCUGGUGCUUCAUCCAAGUCUGGUAUCCAUAUCUGUGAGGCAAGGGCUACUGACGAGCACAUGGAAGCAUUUUACACAUGUGUUUUUCUCUUCUGCCUCUGUGGCUCUUCCUUUGGGAGGAAAUAUGGCUUCCAGAAGCUCCAGGCUAGUAUCCAAUGAUCCAGAAGGAAGGAGAACAUGGCCGUUGUUGCAGAAGUACAGAGGUGCAUUGAAGCCAUUUACAUUCAGUGUGAUUAUUGACAGGGCAACCCAAGGAAACUAAGACAAAUGGGUUUGCAGACAGCAGCUUCCACUCCCCCAAGACUGGAUGCAGAUGUGGUGAGUAUUCUCUCUGUAUAACCUCCUCCCUUAAAAAGCACAUGCCAUUCUUUUUCAAAAUAACAAGACAGUGGUUUCCUUUUGUCACUCUCUGUUCAUAAUUGGAUGUUGAUUGUUCUAUUCUACCUGAUGUUGUCUGCUGAGUUUGAAUAUUAAAUAAAAUGUUUCCUUAGGAAAAUGAUUAUAAGAUGUGUUGUGUGUUGUGGUCCCCAUCUUUUUGAUCUUUCUCGAGCAAUAUGAUUUCUUACUGAAAAAUUCUGUUUUCUAUGUACUAAAACUUAUAAAUAAAUAAGGACCAUGUGAAACUUACCUUCGUCUCAGAGUAAAACAAAACAAAACAAACCCAAAUCUGUAGCAAUCUAGUUGAUGCUGACUCAUGGCGACCCCAUGUGUUGCAGAGUAGAACCGCACUCCGUCAAAGAAUAAUAUGGCAUACUCUGUUGAAAGCAAAAGCAAGGACUUUUACUGAAGGCAAGAUACAGUUUAAACUGAGGAAAUGCACAGUCCACAAGGUGAAAUCACAGUAUUCCAAGGUGGUGCAAUUACAAAGGCAUGUUUAUAUGCUAAAAUCAAGAACUGACAAUACAAAAUUUCUAAUAGGCACUCAGUGAUUCAGGAAAGUGGGAGGCUAUCUUGAAGCAGGGAUCUAUAACAGAAAUACCGCAAGUGGAUGGCUUUAACAAACAGAAAUUUACUCUUUCACAGUCUAGGAGGCUAAAAGUCUGAAUUCAGGAUACCGGCUCCAGAAGAAGGCUUUCUCACUCUGUCGGCGCUGGGGAAAGGUCCUUGUCAUCAAUCGUCCCCUGGUCUAGGAGUUCUCAGCCCAGGAACCCUGGAUCCAAAGGACACACUCCCCUCCUGGUUCUUCAUUCUUGGUGGCAUGAGGUCCCUCUCUUUUCUGCUUGCUUCUCUCUUUUAUAUCUCAAAAGAGAUUGACUCAAAAUACAACCUAAUCUUGUAGAUUGAGUCCCACUCAUUAACAUAACUGCCUCUAAUCCUGCCUCAUUCACAUCAUAGAGGUAGGAUUUACAACACACAGGAAAAUUACAUUGGAUGACAAAAUGGUAGACAAUCACACAAUACUGGGAACCAUGGGCUCGCUAAUUUGACACACAUUUUUGGAGGACACAAUUCAAUCCAUAAUAUUUAGGGACCAUAAGGGGCUUACAGGGUAGUUGCAAGAUAAUUUCAAGACAUUGCUUUCUGGGAACAUAGAGGUUACAUACAAUGUUUGUAUCAAGGAUCUUGGAGAAAUAGCUGACAGUGUUCUUUCUUAGCUUGGUUACAAAGAAAACAUUUCCUUGGUUACAAGAUUAAGUCUGUAUAAUGGACAGAAGGUAACAAAAACAGUAAAUUAUCAAUCCCAAGCCUGGGAUUGCAGUCCCCACCAUCAAACACCCCCAAAUUUAGGACUUUCAUAGCUCCAAGGAGUUUUCAAUGCUCGUGAUCUUUCAGAAGGAGAUCACCAGGUGUUUCUUCCUAGGCAUCUUGAGGUGGAUUCGAACCUCCAACCUUUCAGUUAGUAGCUGAACGCUUAACUGUGCCAUCUAGGGACUCCCCUUCCCAGGAUACAGAUAACUAAAAGGAAGUAUUUCAUAAAAAUAAAAACAGGAUUAAAUCUUGGUUAGAAAUCAUGCUUUUCUUCUUUUAUUCCUUCAAAGGAAAUUGAGACUUUUGCUACAACAAAGAGGAAAAUAAUUAAACCCCAAAUUAAACUUGCCCAAUAAAGAUUUUUUUUAACAGAGUCAAAAAUAAAAAUCAGCCAACAAUCUAACUUCCGUGUAGCAUUUCUGCUGAGCAAGAUAAAGUGUGCUGAUGACAAAUACUUAAAAAAAAAAAACUGUGGCCUGAAGAAUUCCGCUAGAGGCAGGGACACAAUCUUUGUCUUCCAUCAAAAAAUUAUCAUAAAACAGACUCCUGCUGUUUUCGUAGAAAUUGAUGAUUAUCAAAAGAAUUUCAGAAUUACUACGAAAAAUUAUGGCCAACGGGCCUGAGGAUGGCGAAAGGACAGAUGCUUAACUAAAUUCCUUUACCUGGGUCGUUUGGAGGUUGGAAGAAUUGAUUGGUUACAUUUGUCUUUAAACCCCCUCUCUUCCUCCUUCUCACAUUGUCUGGCAUUUGCUGUCCUUGUUUUUCGGGCAGCUGUUAAAAAUGCAUGAGUUUAGCUGAUGAUUAGACUAAGUGAUUCUUCCUUGAAGUCAUUAAUUAUCAAUGCGAGGCUUCUUGGUGGAAGGAAGCAACCCAAAAGGAAUUCUGAGUUCUUUGCAAGACAGGCUCGCGUAUCUGCCGAAGGUGACUGGAGGAGAAAGUCUGGCCAUUUGGAAUGCUUCAGUGCUGUGUGCAAGGAGCGUAAAGAAUCAACUAGAAAAUAUAGAAACAGUGGAAUGAAGUGUAAAGCACGUGCUGAUUUUUUCUGCUCCGCGUAAAGUACAUCUCUUAUUUUCUGUCCAGCAUUGAUGUCUUGGAGGAAUCAUCCCUCCUUUGUUGUUGUUAGUUGCCAUGGAAUCGAUUCUAAGUCGUGGCAACCCCAAAUGUGCAGAGUAGAGCUGCUCCGUAAGGUUUUCAAAGCUGCUACCUUUUGGAAGCAGAUCGCCAGGCCCGUCUUCUGAGGCCCCUUGGGUGGGUUUGAACUGCCAGUCUUUUGGCUGGUGGUAGGGCACUUAACCAUUUGUGCCAUCCAGGGACUCAACUCCUCUUUUACUCUACAUGAUGCUGGUGGGCGGCUGACCAUGGGACCUCACCUUGUAAUCAUUGGAGGGAGGACACGGGAAAUAGGGACCUGACCCAAGCUAAGCCGACCAAUGUCCUCUCCUGGAAGUUUGAAUCUUUUUUUUCAUUCAUUUACUCAUUCAUUCAUUGAGUACCUACAUGGAAUUUUGAAGCCUGAGGGAAGAUACUCAGACAGAAGGUGGUUUGGAGCUGGGCCACCUGAUGGCUAGAGCCGAAAUGGCUGCUACCCAGGCACCUGGACUGACCCUGCUCUCUGUCCUUCUUGUGGCCAUGGUGUUGAGCCCUUCAUUCAUAUACAUGAGGUACUCUAGAAGAUUUUCAAUAAACCCUGUUUUUUGCUUAAUGUAGCAAGAUCAAUUUCCAUUGUUUACCACUUAAAAAGCAACAACAGAUAUUUACAGGUAUAACAGCAAUUUCUGGGUCAGAAAUUAAAUUUAGCAUCUGCAUGAGAGAAAGACAUUAUACAGUAUGAUGGUUCCAAAUUGUCCGUAGCUGAGGUGCAGGCCUCUUCGGCAUUCAGCCAUCUUCCUGUUCUACUUCCUGUGAUCCUUGUAGCUCUAGAGCACAGUUAGGGUUUUAAGAGAGGCUAGUAAGGCAGUGAGGGGUAGCAUAGUGUUGCCCAAAGUGUGUUCUGAAGAACAGUAAUCCCUUGACAAAUUCUGUAAACAGACAAAGAAACAAACACAACAUUGUGUAGCCAAAUAGGAUGUAGAAACAACACAUCUUGUAUGUGCCUACUGGAGAUUUACUGCUCACGAACAUAGCAAGGGCUCUGAUGAGUUUUUCGAGAAAGGAAUCUGUUUAACACAGCAUGUCCCAGACUUACUUGACUACAGAAUCCCUUUUCUAUAGACUAUCUAUUAAUAUGUUGUGAAACCAGGAUUUUGUGAAACCCCUUUAGGGAAACAGGUGUAAAGGAAUCAGAAAACACAGUUUUUAGAUAUUCUGAUACCCAUUUGGUGGAGUGCUGACAGAUAAAUUUUUACUUAAUUGCCUUAUUUACUAAAACAGAAUUUCAUCUUUAAUCAUAUAUAUUUUUUAAUGAUUUGAAGUAUUUUGUUGGUUCCUUAUUUGAAAUGAGUAUUUAAUAAACUGGUUAUUGUAAUUUCAGAUGGUUAACCACCCAACUUCUCUUUCCUGAAGGGAGGGCAGAUAAAUUCACUCCAAGGUCAUUAGCCAAAAGGAAAACAAGCUCCAAGUUUAUCAAUUUGUGCAUUUGUUAUAAAACUUGAGACAUUGGGUUUGUCACUCUUAGUGGAAACAAUGAAUUUGUAAUCAGAGCAAUGGUUCCCAACCUGGGACAUGUAGCAAUGUCUGGAGAUGUUUUUGGUUGUCAAACUGGGGAGGGGGAAUUAGGGUGCUACUGGCAUCUAGUGGGUAAAGAUCAGGAAGCUCUAAACAUUUUUGUGAUGCACAGGAUAAUGGACACUCACAAUAAGGAAUUGUCCAGCACCCAAUGCCAUUAACAGUGCCGAGGCUGAGAAACCCUGCAUUAGUGCAAGUGUUGCUUGAGAAGAAAUAGUCUCACACCAAACAUAGAUCAAGACAGAAAGAGUCCUUUAAGGCCUUACUACGGAGUCCUUGAGCAGUGCAAAUGGUUAACACGUCUGGCUGUAAUUGAAAGACUGGUGGCUUGAGUCCACCAGAGGCACCUCAGAAGAAUGGCCUGGAGAUCUACUUCAAAAAAUCAGCCAUUGAAAAUCCUAUGAAGCACUGUUCUGCUCUGACACACCCGAGGUCACCACAAGUUGGAGUCAACAUGAUGGCAACUGGUUAUAUUUUUAAACCAGUAGGUUCAAUGACACGCUCCCCAUAAACUCUUUGGCACUAUGUUUGAGAGCUUGAAGUCUAGACUCUGUCAUUCAUGAACCUUUGACCUGGACAAGUCACUUGGGGCGUCAGUUUCUUUACCUGAAAAAGGCAGAUUAGAUGAGAUUUUUGAGAGUUUUCUAGUGACAUUAUGAUUCAUGAAGAGCAAUCCUAAGACAUGAACUCUUCAAUGUGAAGUAAACAAUCACUGACCUUAGGUUUUGGGGGCGUUCAAUUGUGCAGAGAAGAUCUGGGUACAGCGAUGUUGCCUCCCUGUCCUGGUCAUGUCUGGUAGUCACGUAGCGGUCAUGAGAGAACAGAAACGACCCAGUGUUUUUCCUAGUGAGUCUUCAUUGAUGUCUGUUACUCUACUCAUUCCUUAAAUGAAAGUUCUGAUUUCAGCCCUCUUCUCAAACUACGCUCAUCUUUGGCCAUCUCUCCUCUCUCAUUACAUUCAACUAUCACUUCUGUUAAUGCCAACCUCUAUCUCAAAUCCUCAUCUUUCUCCUGAGCACUAUUUCAAGUUGUUUCUUAGAUAUCUCCACAUGGAUAAUGAUGAUAAUGAUGGUGAUAAUAAUAUUAACUAUAAUACCUAACACUAUUAACCUUUUUUUUUUAAAACUGUGGUUUGGGUCAAAGUUUACAGAGUAAAUUAGUUUCCCAUUCAACAAUUUAUACACAUUUUGUUUCACGACGUUAGUUUCAAUUCCCUCAAUGUGACAGCACUCUACCCACUUCCCCUCUGAGUUCCCCAUUUCCAUUUGCCCAUCUUUCCUGCCCCUCCCUACCUUCUGCACUUUAUUUUUGGGCAAAUGCUUCCCUUUUGGUCUCAUAUGGUUGAGUGUUCUGAGGAGCAGGUUUCGCACAGGUGUUAUCACUUUAGUGUUAUUGUUCACUUUUUAGGCCUGUCCAUUGUUUGGGUCACUAUGAGUUGGAAUCCACUCGAAGGCAGUGAGUUUUUUUUUUUUUUUUAUUGUUUGGCUGAAAGGUGAUCUCUGGGAAUGGGUUCAGUUCCAGGUUUGUAGGGUGUCUAAGGUCCAUAGUCUCAAGGGUUCCACCAGUCUCUAUCAGACUAGUAAGUCUGGUCUUUUUUAUGGAUUUGAAUUUUGUUUUACAUUUUUCUCCCACUCUGUCCAGGAUCUUCUAUUGUGAUCCUGAUGGUAGCCGGGCUCCAUCUAGUUCUUCUGGUCUCAGGCUAGUGGAGGCUGUGGUUUGUGUGGUCCAUUGGUCCUUUGGGCUAAUUGUUUCCUUGAGACUCUGAUUUUCUUUACUCUUCUUUGCUCCUGACAGGCACACUAUUGACCUUUUGCUGUGAUCUGGGCAUUAUCCUAAGCCCUUUUAUUAACUCAUUUAUGCUUACAGGGUAAGUAACUUGGUCAAGGUCAAACAAUUAGUGUAUGGUAGAGCUGGGAUUCAAAAGUACCAAUGUUUCAAACCAAUGUCCUGAAUAGAUCAGGUUCUUUCUCACACAGUUCCUGUUACUGUGUUCCCUAGUAUGAUAGAUUCCAUCACCUGGGCUGGACUUUUUUUUCUUUUAGUUGUGCUUUGGGUGAAAGUUUACAGCUCAAAUUAAUUUCUCAUACAAAAAUUUAUAUUUAUAAUGUCAUGUGACACUAGUUGCAAUUCCUACAAUGUGACAGCACACUCCCCUUUCCACCCCGGGUUUCUCAUGUCCAUCGAACCAGCUCCUGUCCCUUCCUGCCUUCUCAUUCUGCCUCUGGACAGCAGCCGCCCAUUUGGUCUCAUGUAUCUCCUUGAACUAAGAAGUACACUCUUCAUGAGUAUUAUUUUAUGUUUUAUAGCCAGUCUAAUCUUUGUGAAGAGUGGGCUUCAGGAAUGGUUUCAGUUCUGGGUUAACAGAGUGUCUGGGGGCCAUGGCUUCAUGUGUUCCUCUAUUCUCAGACCAUUAAGUGUGGUCUUUUUAUGUGAAUUUGAGCUCUGUUCCACACUUUUCUCCUGCUCCAUCAGGGAUUCUCUGUUGUGUUCUCUAUCAGGGCGGUCAUUGGUGGUAGCGAGGUACCAUCUAGCUCUUCUAGUUUCAGGCUUAUAGAAUCUCUGGUUUGUGUGGCUCUUUUGUCUCUUGUGGCAUAGUGGUUAAGUGCUACGGCUGCAAACCAAAGGGUUGGCAGUUCGAAUCCACCAAGUGCUCCUUGGAAACUCUAUGGGGGCAGUUCCACUCUGUCCUGUAGGGUCGCUAUGAGUUGGAAUCAACUUGACGGCACUGGGUUUGGUUUUUUUUGUCUCUUGGGCUAGUAUUUUCCUUGUGUCCUUGGUGUUCUUCAUUCUCCUUUGCUCCAGGUGGGUUGGGACCAAUUGAUGCAUCUUAGUUGGCUGCUCACACACUUUUAAGACCCCAGACGCCACUCACCAAAGUGGGAUGCAGAAUGUUUUCUUAAUCAACUUUGUUAUGCCAGUUGACCUAGAUGUCUCUUGAAACCAUGGUCCCCAGACCCCAGCCCCUGCUACUCUGUCUGUCAAAGUGUUUGGUUGUAUUCAGGAAACUUCUUAGCUUUUGGUUUAGUCUGGUUGUGCUGACCUCCCCUGUAUUGUGUGUUGUCCUUCCCUUCACCUAAGAUGAGUUUUGUCAACUAUCUAGUUAGUGAUACCCCUCUUCCUCCCUGUCUACCCUUGUAACCAUCAAAGAAUGUAUUCUUCUGUGUUUAAACAUUUUCUCCAGUUCUUAUAAUAGUGGUCUCAUACAAUAUUUGUCCUUUUGCAAUUGACUAAUUUCACUCAGCAUAAUGCCUUCCAGAUUCAUGCAUGUUGUGAGAUGUUUCUUGGAUUCAUCAUUGUUCUUUAUUGUUGCGUAGCAUUCCACUGUGCGUAUGUAUCAUAAUUUGUUUAUCCAUUCAUCUGUUGAUGGGCACCUAGGUUGUUUCCAUCUUUUUUCUAUUGUGAACAGUGCUGCAAUGAACAUGGUAUUGCAUAUAUCUAUUCAUGUGAUGGCUUUUAUUUCUCUAGGAUGUAUUCCAAGGAAUGGGAUUGCUGGAUUGUAUGGUACUUCUAUUUCUAGCUUCUUAAGGAAGUGCCAAGUUGAUUUCCAAAGUGGUUGUACCAUUUUACAUUCCCACCAGCAGUGCAUAAGUGUUCCAGUCUCUCUACAACCUCUCCAACAUUUUUUUUUUCGUGUUUUUUGGAUUAGUGCUAGCCUUGUUGGAGUGAGAUGAUAUCUCGCUGUAGUUUUGAUUUGCAUUUCUCUAAUGGCUAAUGAUCAUAAGCAUUCCUUCAUGUAUCUGCUAGUUUCCUGAACAUUGUCUUUGGUGAAGUGCGUGCUCAAAUCCUUUGCCCAUUUUUUAAUUGGAUUAUUUGCCUUUUUGUUGUUGAGGUUUUGCAGUAUCUUGUAAAUUUUAGAGAUUAGACCCUGAUCUGAUAUGUGGUAGCCAAAUUUUUUUUCCCAUUCUAUAGGUUGUCUCUUUCUCUUUUGGUAAAGUGUUUUGAUAAGCAUAAAUGUCUGAUUUUUAGGAGCUCCCAGUUAUCUAGUUUCUCUUCUGGUGUUUGUGUAUUGUUAAUAAUGUUUUAUAUGUUGUUUUUGCCAUGUAUUAGGGCUCCUAGCAUUGUCCUUAUUUUUUCUUCCAUGAUCUUUAUCAUUUUAGGUUUUAUAUUUAGGCCUUUAAUCCAUUUUGAGUUGGUUUUUGUACAUGGUGUGAGGUAUGGGUCUUGUUUCAUUUUUUUUUUUGCAAAUAGAUAUCCGGUUAUACCAGCAUCAUUUGCUAAAAAGACUAUCUUUUCCCCAUUAAUGGACUUCAGGCCUUUGUCAAAUAUCAGCUACUCAUAGGUGGACGAAUUUACAUCCGGUUUCUCAAUUCUGUUCCAUUGGCCUAUGUAUCUGUUGUUGUACCAGUACCAGGCUGCUUUGACUACAGUGGUGGUAUAAAAGAUCCUAAAAUCAGAUGGUGUGAGGCCUCCCACUUUGUCUUCUUCAGUAAUGCUUUACUUAUCGGGGGUCUCUUCCCCUUCCAUAUGAAGUUGGUGAUUUGUUUCUCCAUCUCAUUAAAAAUGUUGUUGGAAUUUGGAUCAGGAUUGCAUUGUAUCUGUAGAUUGCUUUGGGUAGAAUUGACAUUUUCACAAUGUUGGGUCUUCCUAUCCAUGAGGGUGGUAUGUUUUUCCACUUAUGUAAGUCUCUUUUUGUUUCUUGCAAUAACAUCUUGGAGCUUUCUUUGUAUAGGUCUUUUAUGUCUCUGUUUAGAUUUAUUGCUAAGUAUUUUAUCUUCUUUGGGGGACAUUGUAAAUGGUAUUGAUUUGGUGAUUUCCUUUUCAAAGUUCUGUUUGUUGGUGUAGAGGAAUCCAACUGAUUUUUGUAUGUUUAUCUUGUAUCCUGAUACUUUGCUGAAAUCUUCUAUGAGUUCCAUUAGUUUUCUUUUGGAUUUUCUGGUGUUUUCUGUAUAUAAGAUCACAUCAUCUGCAAAUAGGGAUACUUUUACUUCUUCCUUACCAAUGUGGAUGCCCUUUAUUUCUUAUUCGUGCCUUAUUGCUCUGGCUAGGGUUUCCAGCACAAUGUUGAAUAAGAGUAGUGAUAAAGGGCAUCCUUGUCUGAUUCCCGUUCUCAAAGGGAAUGCUUACAGACUCUCUCCAUUUGGGAUGAUGUUUUGCUCAUGGCUUUGUAUAAAUGCCCUUUAUUAUGUUGAGGAAUUUUCCUUCUAUUCCUAUUUUGCUGAGAGUUUUUAUCAUGAAUGUGUGUUGGAUUUUGUCAAAUGCCUUUUCUGCAUGGAUUGAUAAAAUCAUGUGGUUCUUAUGCUUUGUUUUAUUGAUGUGAUGGAUUACAUUGAUUGUUUUGCUAAUGUUGAACCAUCCCUGCAUAUGUGGUAUGAAUUCCACUUGGUCAUGGUGAAUUAUUUUUUUGAUAUAUUGUUGAAUUCUAUUGGCUAGAAUUUUGUUGAGGAUUUUUGCAUCUACGUUCAUGAGGAAUACAGGCCUAUAAUUUUCUUUUUUUGUGGUGUCGUUACCUGGUUUUGGUAUCAGGGUUCUGCUGGCUUCAUGUAAUGAGUUCAGUAGUAUUUCAUCCCUUUCUACGCUCUGAAAUACCUUCAGUAGUACUGGUGUUAAUUAUUCUCUGAAAGUUUGGUUGGAUUCUCCAGUGCAGCCAUCAGGGCCAGGGCUUUUUUUGUUGUUGUUGGAAGUUUUUUAAAUUACCUCUUCAAUCUCUUCUUUUGUUAUAGGUUUAUUUAGUUUUUCUAUCUCAGUUUGUUUUAGUUUAGGUAGGUAGUGUGUUCCUAGAAAUUUGUCCAUUUCCUCUAGGUUUUCAAAUUUCUUGAGGUACAAUUUUUCAUAAUAUUCUGUUAUGAUUCUUUUAAUUUCAGUUAGGUCUGUUGUGAUACCACCCAUCUCAUCUCUUAUUUGGGUUAUUUGCUUCCUCCCCUGUUUUUCUUUUGUUAGUUUGGCCAAUGGCUUAUUGAUUUUAUUGAUCUUUUCAAAAGAACCUGCUUUUGGUCUUGUUGACUCUUUCAAUUGUCCUUCUACUCUCUAUUUCAUCUCUAAUUUUUAUUAUUUCCUUUUUUCUGAUGCCUGAAGGCUUCUUUUGCUACUUUCUUUCUAUUUGCUCGAGUUGUAGGUCUAAUGUUUUGAUUUUGGUCCUUUCUUCUUUUUGCAUGUGUGCAUUUUAUUGCUAUAAAUGGACCUCUGAGCUCUGCUUUUGCUGUGUCCCAAAGGUUCUGGUAGGGAUGUGUUCAUUCUCAUUUGAUUCAAUGAAUUUCUUUAUUCUGUCCUUGAUUUACUCUAUAACCCAGUAGUUUUUGAGCAAGGCAUUGUUCAGUUUUCAUGUAUUUGAUUUUUUUUCCUUGUUUUUUUCUGUUAUUGAUUUCUGCUGUUACAGCCUUAUGGUCAGAAAAGAUGCUUUGUAAAGUUUCGGUGUUUUGGAUUCUGUUAACACUUGCUUUGUAGCCUAAUAGGUAGUCUAUUCUGGAGAAUGUUCCAUGUGCAUUGGAAAAGAAGUAUACUUGGUUGCUAUCGAUUGGAGUGUUCUGUAUAUGUCUAUGAGAUCAAGUUGGUUGAUUGUGGCAUUUAGAUCGUCUGUGUCUUUAUUGAGCAUCUUUCUAGAUGUUCUAUCCUUCACCAAAAGUGGUAUGUUGAAGUCGCUUACUACUAUUGUGGAGUUGUCUGUUUCUCUUUCGUUGCUGUUAGAGUUUGUUUUACGUAUUUUGGAGCCCUGUUGUUGGGUGCAUAAAUAUUUAUUAUGGUUAUGUCCUCCUGGUGUAUUGAUCCUUGACUCAUUAUAUAGUGUGGUGGUGGAUUUUCCUUUAAAGUGUACUUUGUCAGAGAUUAAUAUUACCACUCCUGUUCUUUUUAAAAUUUUUUUUUAUUGUGUUUUAAAUGAAGGUUUAUAGAACAAACUUGCUUCUUAUUAAACAGUUAGUACACAUAUUGUUUUAUGACAUUGGUUAACAACUCCAAAACAUCUCAAUACUCUCCCUUCUCUACCUUGGGUUCCCCAUUACCAGCUUUCCUGUUGCCUCCUGCCUUCCUGCUUUUUUUGAUUGUUUUUUGCUCGAUAUAUUUUUUCCAUCUUUUGAAUUUUAGUUUGUGUCUUUGAUUCUAAGGUGUGUCUCUUGUAGGCAGCAUAUAGAUGGAUUUGUCACUUUAUUGGUGCAUUUAGUCCAUUUAUGUUCAGUGUAAUGAGUUUAGUGCUGUCAUUUUGAUUUUUUUUUUUUUUGUGGCACUUAAUUUUGCACUUAAUUUUCUGUGCUGUCAUUUUCCUUUAUGUAUUUUCUUUUCAUCUUUUCCAUUGUUGUUGAUUUUCUUCUUUUUUAUUUUGAUGUGUAGUUUUGUUAGUUUCCUUUGUGGUUGCCUUAAAAUUUACCUCAGUUUUUCUAUGUUUAAACCAAUCUUGAUAUUGCCUUAACUUCCUCCCCAUAUAAAAGUUCUAUGAGUACACUAUCUAGUCCCUCUUUUUUGUUUUAAUGUUUUCGUCUUUUACAUAUUGACGUCUCUGUUUCCCUAUUUUCAGUGUUUUAGCUUUGACUUAUUUUUGUAACUUCCCUAUCUGAGUUUAUAUUUUGUUGUUCUGUCCUGUGUUCUAGUCUUUAGUUGUUAUCUGAUAUUAUUGAUUCUCUAACUGGAGGACUCCCUUUAGCAUUUCUUAUAAUUUUGGUUUGGUUUCUACAAAUUCCCUUAACUUCUAUUUAUCUGGAAAUGCCCUAAUUUUGCCUUCAUAUUUGAUAGAUAUUGGUCUGUAAUUUUCUUUUUUUGUGGUGUCUUUGCCCUGUUUUGGUAUCAGGGUUAUGCUGGCUUCAUAGGAUGCAUUUGAAAGUAUCACUUCCUUUUCUAUGUUCUGAAGUAGUUUGAGCAGUAGUGGCGUAAGCUCUUCUCUGAAUGUUUGGUAGAAUUCUCCAGUAAAGCCAUCUGGGCCAGGGCGCUUUCUUAUUGAGAGUUUUUUUUUUUUUACCUUUUCAAUCUCUUGUUAUGGGUGUGUUCAGAUUUUCAGCACCAGUUUGUGUUAGUUUGGGUAGGUAGUGUGUUUCUAGAAAUUUGUCCAUUUCCUCUGGGUUUUCAAAUUUGUCAGAGUAUAGUUUUUCAUAAUACUGUUAUGAUUCUUUUUAUUUCAGUUGGGUCUGUUUUAAUGUCCCCCAUUUCAUUUCUUAUUUGGGUUGUUUGCGUCCUCUCCUGUUUUUCAUUUGUCAAUUUGGCUAGUGGUUUGUUGAUUUUGUUGAUCCUUUCAAAGAACCAACUUUUGGUUUUGUUGAUUCUUUCUAUUUUUUUUUUCUAUUGUCUAUGCCUUUGUAUUUGAGAAAUUGUUUUACUGGAUAUACAGUUCUUGGUUGGCAAUUUUUUUCCUUCAAGGCUUUAUACAUGUCAUCCCAUUUCCUUCUUGCCUGCAUAGUUUCUGCUGAGUAAUCAGAGCUUAGUCUUAUUGGCUCUCCUUUGUAAAUGACUUUUUGUUUAUCUCUAGCCACUUUUAAAAUUCUCUCUUUACCUUUGGUUUUGGCAAGUUUGAUUAUAAUGUGUCUUGAUGACUUUCUUUUGGGAUCUCUCCUCUAUGGGGUUUGAUGCGCUUCUUGGAUAGAUACUGUCUCAUCUUUCUUGAUAUCAGGGGAGCUUUCUGCUAACAAAUCUUCAGCAGUUCUCUGUAUUUUCUGUUAUCCCCCCCUGUUCUGGUGCUCCAAUCACUCGUAGGUUAUUCCUCUUGAUAGAGUCCCACAUAAUUAGGAUUUCUUCAUUUCUAAAGAAUUCUUUUAUCUGAUUUUUCCUCAAAUAUGUUGUUGUCAAGUGCUUCAUCUUCAAUCUCACUAAUUCUGACUUCCAUUGCCUCAUUUCUGCUCCUAUGACUUUCUAUUGAGUUGUCUAAUUCUGAAAUUUUAUUGUUAAUAUUUUGGGUUUCUAUUUGCUGUCUCUCUGUGCAUUCUUGCAGCCUGUUAAAUUUGUCAUUUUGCUCUUGUGUAGCCUCCCCAAAUCCCUCUAUUGCUUCGCCUGUGUGUUCCUUGGCUUGUUCUGCAUUUUGCCUGAUCUUCUUCCUGAUCUCUUGAAGAGCUCUGUAUAUUAAUCUUUUGAAUUCUACCUUCAGUAAUUCCAAGACUUCAUCUUCCUCCAGGAGGUUCCCUGAUUCUUUGUUUUGGUCACUUGCUGAAGCCAGCAUGGUCUACCUCUUUAUGUGAUUUGAUAUUGACAGUUGCCUCUGAGCCUUCAAUAAGUUAUUAUUUUUUUUUUUAUUUUAUGUUUUCUUACUGUGUCCUAGCUUCAUGUUUUGUUUUGAUAUGUCCAAAUAGGCUGGUCAUGUGAGCU